CACGUAGGGCGCAAGCGUUUGUCCGGAAUUAUUGGGCGUAAAGAGCUCGUAGGUGGUUUGUUACGUCUGCUGUGAAAACCUAGGGCUUAACCCUGGGCUUGCAGUGGGUACGGGCAGACUAGAGUGUGGUAGGGGAGACUGGAAUUCCUGGUGUGAGCGGUGAAAUGCGCAGAUAUCAGGAGGAACACCGAUGGCGAAGGCAGGUCUCUGGGCCGACUACUGACGCUGAGGCGACGAAAGCGUGGGGAGCAAACAGG
rnacentral:rRNA from 1 species